rnacentral:rRNA from 1 species
AACGAACGCUGGCGGCAGGCCUAACACAUGCAAGUCGAGCGAAGCCUUCGGGCUUAGCGGCGGACGGGUGAGUAACGCGUGGGAACGUGCCCUUUGGUACGGAAUAGCCCCGGGAAACUGGGAGUAAUACCGUAUGUGGUCGAGAGACGAAAGAUUUAUCGCCAAAGGAUCGGCCCGCGUUGGAUUAGGUAGUUGUUGGGGUAAUGGCCUACCAAGCCGACGAUCCAUAGCUGGUUUGAGAGGAUGAUCAGCCACACUGGGACUGAGACACGGCCCAGAAGCCUACGGGAGGCAGCAGGGGGGAAUCUUAGACAAUGGGGGAAACCCUGAUCUAGCCAUGCCGCGUGAUCGAUGAAGGCCUUAGGGUUGUAAAGAUCUUUCAGUGGGGAAGAUAAUGGCUGUACCCACAGAAGAAGCCCCGGCUAACUCCGUGCCAGCAGCCGCGGUAAUAC